ACGCUCGCGGUCGGUCGCGUUGCGUGACGUCACGUGCGGUGUUUUACGUGAAUUUAACAAAACAGUUGAUAGUUAGUGCGCCGGUGAGUUUGGGUUGAAUUUUGUGUGGUGGAGGAAUGGUUUGCUCAAAAUGCCCCGUUGUUGUCACAGUAACUCUACGCGCUAAGUGAAUUUGUAAAACGGACUGAAAGACAGUUAAAAUGGUGUGAAAUGUCAAAAUAAGAAAAUGGCGUCGUUUAGUCACCAAGAGACGCAGUCCAGCCCGGCUAAGGAGAUACCCAGGACAUCGACCACAAAAUGCAGCAGCGGCUCGCCGCACCGAGAGAAGAGGCGGCGGGACGAGGAGGCGUCCGG